UACGAAGGGGGCGAGCGUUGUUCGGAUUUACUGGGCGUAAAGGGCGCGCAGGCGGCGCAUUUUGUCAGGCGUGAAAGCCCCGGGCUUAACCUGGGAACUGCGUUUGAUACGGAUGGGCUAGAGUUCGGGAGAGGAGAGUGGAAUUCCCAGUGUAGAGGUGAAAUUCGUAGAUAUUGGGAAGAACACCGGUGGCGAAGGCGGCUCUCUGGACCGAGACUGACGCUGAGACGCGAAAGCGUGGGGAGCGAACAGG
rnacentral:rRNA from 1 species